CCUACGGGAGGCAGCAGUAGGGAAUAUUCGGCAAUGGGCGCAAGCCUGACCCAGCAACGCCGCGUGAGGGAAGAAGGCUUUCGGGUUGUAAACUUCUUUUCUCAGGGACGAAGCAAGUGACGGUACCUGAGAAAUAAGCUACGGCUAACUACGUGCCAGCAGCCGGGUAAAUACGUAGGUGGCAAGCGUUAUCCGGAUUUACUGGGUGUAAAGGGCGUGUAGGCGGGGACGUAAGUCAGAUGUGAAAACCACGGGCUCAACCUGUGGCGUGCAUUGGAAACUGGGUGUCUUGAGUACAGGAGAGGCAGGUGGAAUUCCUAGUGUAGCGGUGAAAUGCGUAGAUAUUAGGAGGAACACCAGUGGCGAAGGCGGUUUGCUGGACUGUAACUGACGCUGAGGCGCGAAAGCGUGGGGAGCAAACAGGAUUAGAUACCCGGGUAGUC
rnacentral:rRNA from 1 species